CACCGAACCAUGGGGUGAAGUAAUACAAAAAUGUAAACAUACGUUUAAAGUUCGAAAAGAAAGUGAACACAAGAGCGUUCAUGAGUUUCUACAAGACUGGAAAAUAUUAUCAGACCAAAGAAGUGACAUAUUGAUAAACAUUGACUUCGACUUGUUGUAUCCAGAAAAAGGGCUGAAUUUUUAUUUAAAUUGGAAAAUAUUUUUCGAAAAAAUUAUUGCUUUUAAACCGAACAGAGACGAAAGAAUCUUGAACCUUAUUGAGUCACUGAAAAAUUUAGACAAUGAUUUAACACUUCCUGCUGAGCUUAAAAUACUCGCACAUCUGGUGCCUCCAAAGGGAAGAAUUUCAAAAAAAAUUAAGUUCACUACUCAG